rnacentral:rRNA from 1 species
GAGUUUGAUCAUGGCUCAGGAUGAACGCUAGCGGCAGGCUUAACACAUGCAAGUCGAGGGGUAGUCUAGCAAUAGAUGAGACCGGCGCACGGGUGCGUAACGCGUAUGCAACCUACCUUUUACAGGGGAUAGCCCAGAGAAAUUUGGAUUAAUACCCCAUGGUAUAAUUUGAUGGCAUCAUUAGAUUAUUAAAGUUCCAACGGUAAAGAUGGGCAUGCGUCCUAUUAGCUAGAUGGUAAGUAACGCUUACCAUGGCUACGAUAGGUAGGGUCCUGAGAGGAGAUCCCCCACGACUGGUACUGAGACACGGACCAGACUCCUACGGGAGGCAGCAGUGAGGAAUAUUGGACAAUGGGCGCAAGCC